rnacentral:lncRNA from 1 species
GAGAGCAAGAAUGAAAAUUGCUCACUAAACGAAGCAACUAAACUAACCAUGAAACUACCGGUAUGGUUCUUUCGAACCCACAAAUUUGCCAGAGCGAGCCUCACUGGUAAUUUCCCAGCAGGAUCGACUUUAGCGCCUGAUCGUAGUAACACUUAGCAAGAUGUAGGUCAAGCGGAAGACCUUGUCCGUGCUCGUGCACCUAACCUAGGUUGAACAUGGCCUGUGCGUUGGAUUGAGACUUGGCAUGCAUGUAUGCUUCGGCCGCUCGUUCAUAGUCCCUUUCCGUACCCUAAACAAUGAAAUCAGCAGUCAGGAAUCUUAAACAAUAUUUUUAAAAAAUUAUUAUUUUGUAAAACACAAAAAUCAAAUAUGACCUAACAAUAAAAUUUAUAUCACUAAUAGGAGUUUUGUUGUUUCUUUCACAGAGGGAAUCGAAUGUCCCCACACUCCCCAACCUCAGCACAUUAAUAAUACUGUUUAUAUAGUCCCAUUCAAUCAUUUAAAGUGUCUGUCACUAAUUAAAUAUAAAUUAGUUCCAUAACCCUAAAAUUAAAAUUGGUUUGUGUCUAAAAUUAUUAAUAAAAUCAAUAAAUUAAGGACCAGAAGAAAGCAAUGGGCCUUCUUCUGAGUUGGGUUAGUGCAGUUGGGUAGGUGAGAGUGUGGGCCUCAGGUGGUCAAACAUCAAACAACACCGUUAUUCGAUUGGGCCUCUUCUGGGUCCGAAUAUACAUUGCCGGCCUGGAAUCACGAGCUGGUGGGUAAUUAGCUAAACAGUCUUUUCAGUUGGGCUUUUUGUAUAAAAGUCGUUCCCUUUCGAAAUUAUUUUCCUAAUUAUUCUCCUUUUAGUUAACUAGUUUUAUCACACUGAAUCAACUUUUUUUCCAGAGUGCAGUUGGACGAAGCGGUGUAUUGGUGAUUCGAAAAUAUCAAAUUUGAAUACAACAUAUUUUACGAAUAGACAUUUAAUAUAUGAUAUUUAUUUAUUUUUUAUCUUAUAAUUAUUAAGAGGUCUAGCCCGAUUCCAUCAUUACAUCUCCGAAUUUAAUUGUCUGCACGAAGAUUUUGUUAUUAUUCAGGGCUGCUGCAGCUGCUGAACCUUUCAUUGUCUUCUUCUUCCUCACUUAGGUUUUGAUUCUUUGAACAUGGAUAUUGAUGGAAUCCUAACUCUAAAUUAAAUAUAAAAAUCAAGUACAAUAAAUCUAACACUAAAAUAUUAAAGUGAAGUGGUACUAACUCAACCAAUAGGUAUAGGUAUUAAAGGAACGAAGGGGGACGAAACCUUAACAGGAAAGGUUUGCAUCUGAACCAAGAGUUGAAAUCAAAGAGUAAACUAGAGUCAAAUUUCGUCUUACUCGAUAUGUCACAUUAACUAUUAUGUGCUCGUGAAAAUCUUAACCAUUGAUUCCAUUUAUGUACCGUUUUUAUAUAGGAAUGGGAAGCAACGAAAUUACAAAAAAAUUAAGAAGGAAAAAAAAUUCGACAAAUAAUUCUUCUUCCUUCAAAAAACAAAUUUUGACUAAAUCAAUCCUUAUUUUAAAAAAAUAAAAUUCAAAGUUUUUUAAAAAAAACUUUUUGGGCUAAUCUUUCAUUUUACUUUUUAAAGGGUGGCAUUUUGUGACUCACGUUUUCAAUUUUCAAUAACACAAUCACAAUUAUUAUGUGAUUUACACCCUCUGACACAAAGUAAUAUUCGUUAAGUUGACUCUGAAAUUAUCAAAUAGAGUAUAUCACGCUAUAGCUUGAGUUACAAAAAAGAUGACGGAGUUGCAAACAAACUAUUUUCGAAUCAAGCGCCUCAGCAGCUCGGCUGUCUGCAACUUUACAUGAUGAAGGGCUUGUGGAGCUGUGGGAUUUUUCCAGCAACUUAGAUUUUUCUCAGAGAAAGACGUGGGCAAGAACAGAGCCCUUGCUUCUCUCCACAAGUUGCAAGACCAAAGACUUAAUAUAAGCAUACAAUACAAUGUUGAUAGAUAGACCAACAUGGCAACAUGAUACAUAUUAUUGGGUGGGUCUUAAAUACAUAAAAACUUCAGAUAAGCAUAAAACACAAUUCAUGUUCUCAACACCAAGAUUACUAGAGACCGACAGAUGACCUUAUAGAGGAUGGAUGAGCAAUGUGAGGUUCACCAGUCAUCAUCAUAAUCAUCAUCCUCCCUUAUUUCGCUUUCAUCAUCAUCAUCGUCGAAGAUUGUACGAACUUAAGGGAAACCAGCCAUCAUAAUCAAAAUAAUCAUAAUCAUCAUCCGAACCUUUAAUGAGAUACGGGUCCUCAAAUAUUCUUUUCCGAAACAUGAUGAGAGCUUGCCUACUUAAACAAUCUGUUUGCAGAGAAACAAAUCCAACAAAUUCAAGACCAAGAAGCAUAAACAGAGAAUUAAGGACACAAUCCGCACAAAGAUUAUAUAUUUUACUGAAUUCAGCUAUUUUCAUACCUUCCCCAUAUCUAAGGUAACCGCUAGCAAAUAGUUUAGACUUCAAAUACCGGGUUAUCCGAGUCCGGAUACCGACUGGACGUAAAGGACCUAUUUGCAGCGAAACAAAUCCAACAAUGUCAAGACCUGGAAGCAUAAACAGAGAAUUAAGAACCAAAACAAUCCUCAAAAUCAAUAUUAAUUUACCGGAUUCAGCUUUUUUCAAAGCUUCCCCCCAUCCACUCUGAUCGCUGGGAAGUGGUAUAAAAUUCAAGUUGGUUAAAAUAGCCUCCUUUUCCUCAAUAGUAAAUGUACGUGAAGACGAAGGGGCUCUGAAACCAGGACCAGAGCUUUUUAAAAAUUCAACCAACUGUUGAACAGAAACAAAUCAACAAUCUGUUACGUACUUGCAACAUAAAUAUAGUGCAGAAAGCAAGUAUACAAUCUCCAAAAUGAUUCUUACCUCGGUACUGAGUUUCCGGGGGCUAUUAAGAUCUGUUGCACGGAAACAAAUCAACAAAUUAAGGUCUGCUGCUGCUGCUGUCACAAGAAGCAUAAACAGAGACAAGGACAACACAAAAAUCCUCAAAAUGAUUUACCACUUACUGAAACCUACCGUGACUGCCGGCAGAUGGUAUAGGCUUGGAAGACUCAGUUAACCGAUCCUCCUUUUUCUCUUUAUCAACGAGAGCCUGUGCUCUUUUCUUUGCUUUUCUCUGUUGUUUCCUCUUUUGAUUUUUGAUUCUUUUCCUGAGAGAAGAACAACUCGAACUUGGCCUUUCUUCCUCCGGCUGCUGCUGCUGCUUCAAUAAGGCAAGCUUCUUCCUCGCCUUGCUUGCCCUCUUCUUUUCUUUUUUCAUUUGACUUUUUGUUUUUUCAAUCAUCAUCGACCUUUCUCCAACCACAAUCUUCUCAGACACCAACUUGUCCAAAUUCAACUUCUUGUCAGAAAUAUGAUUCUCUUUAUGAUGAUUAUCUAUCAAAACACCCAGCAGUUUGCUUCUACCUAACCCUCCUCCCUCCUCCUUGGAUAAUUUGGAGGCAUCAUCAGUCGAACAACGCACAUCUAUCCUUGACGCCAUUGUCGGUUCAACUUUUAUACUGCCAGAAAUCGGAAACAGGAGCGACCCAAUCUAAUCUAGGGUGUCAAUAUUUCCUUCUACGGCCCGAUUGAAAAGAUCUUUUUUGAUACUGCACGAAAUCAGAAACAGGAGCAACCCAAAUUAAACUUGGAUCUAAUCUAAUGCAAUCUAGGGUAUUAACAGGCCUAGACAUCCGAUCGAUAGAGGAGGACUUACUGCUGUGCUGCAGAUAUCCCGUAGUUAUUGAUCUUCGUCGAAUCGCAGUUUCCAGAAUUGCAGAGCGAUUAUUGGGAGGAAUAUAUGAUGGGAAUGGAUAGCCAAGAGCUUCAAUUGUUUAGGGUUCCUACCGACUUCACGUCUAGAUUUUUGCUUUGUCACCUCAUCUCUCUCACAGCACAGCACUCAUUUUCUGAGGCCCAAAUAAAAUAGAAUCAGGCCCAUAACUUAUAACAGGCCUAACACAUAAUACAAUUUUUUGGAGUUGAUAAACUCUGAUCCGUAACUGUCGACCCACCGGUUAAUCGGCUUAAGUUUCGGAGACGAACCAGCAUACGCAGUCUUUAAUCGGCUAAAGUUUCCGAGACAAAUCAGCAUACAUUGUCUUGGGAUUUGGUCCAAGAAGUAGUAAUAUUGGUUCAAUUGGAUUUCCUUUGCCAUCAAUCAUUGAUUGGAUUAGGCAGUGGUACGUACUAUAAGCAUAUGAUUAUGUAAUAGACAUAGUUCGUGUUGCAAAUUUUUUCAAGAAUUUAUCAGUAAAGGUCGACCAACCCACCAGUUAAUCGACUCAAGAUACGGAGGAGACGAACCAGCACACGCAGUGGCUAAUCGACAUAAGUUUCGGAGGCAAACCAGUAUACAUAGUAUAGGGAUUUGGUCUAAGAAGUUGCACUAUAUUAAAAGCAUUCUGUAUCAACAAACCUGAAACUAAAACCUCUAGACAAAUCCACUCUUAAAUACUCCAUUAUCACCUUUUCCACCCAUGCCUCGACUCUCGGGAACACUUCUGGCAACGAAUCGAUCAUGCCGACCUACAUUUGGACAACACAAGACACAGAACCAUUCGAAUAAGCAUAUAUAGCAGUAGACGAGAGCAAGAAUGAAAAUUGCUCACUAAACGAAGCAACUAAACUAACCAUGAAACUACCGGUAUGGUUCUUUCGAACCCACAAAUUUGCCAGAGCGAGCCUCACUGGUAAUUUCCCAGCAGGAUCGACUUUAGCGCCUGAUCGUAGUAACACUUAGCAAGAUGUAGGUCAAGCGGAAGACCUUGUCCGUGCUCGUGCACCUAACCUAGGUUGAACAUGGCCUGUGCGUUGGAUUGAGACUUGGCAUGCAUGUAUGCUUCGGCCGCUCGUUCAUAGUCCCUUUCCGUACCCUAAACAACGAAAUCAGCAAUCAGGAUCUUAAACAAUAAUUUUUCGACAAGUGAUCAAGCUUGAGUAUUUAAUGCAUAACCGGCCAUAGUAACAUGCAUCACCGAUGAGUAAUGCAGCGUGUCCGUUAC